UAAUAAAGAUGGACGGAUACAGCGCCAAUGACUAAUAUUAGUACUACGUGUUUUACUUGGACAAUUAAAUGUCAGUGGACACUCACAAAUACUACAGCCCCCAUCACGAUUACAAUUGUUCACUCCUCAGUGCGCGGUUUCGCCCACCAGCGGAACCCCUCCGCCCCUAAACCCGGCCGGUCCGCCCGCAACUUUCAACGUGCUUAUUAACUGACGGACCUUCUUGCGGUCCGCGAAAAAGGUUAUUAAUAGUAUAUUAAGUUGACGCUUUGUUGCGUAAAAUAAAGACCAAACGAAAAGAAUAAAAUGAUCUUCUGUCAUUCACGUAAGAAAAUAAACUCACGUGUCUGCAGCUCAAUAACAACACCGAAGGAACAACGUCUCGACCCCGGUUUAAGUCUCCAGCAGACGAGGAGUAGCCUCGUUAGCAGUUUAGCUAGCUAGCAUUUAUCGCUCUCCCAUGUUUGAAAUAUCUAACCGUCCUGCCUCCACAUACGGUUAUGUCCCAGGUGUGGUCGUGAAAAGCAAGUUCCAUUUUUAUGUAUGCAUCAAUGCAUUCCAACUAAUGAGGCUUGCUAGCUACCCUUAGUUAACGGUUCACAGACUGCUGUCAGUGAGAAAUAUUUCCACUCUCCUAUAGGGUUGGGUACCGAGAACCGGUACUAAUAUAGCACCGGUUCCUACGCGCUACCUACCGUACUGAAAUGCAACGCAGAUUUCGGUGCUUAGUUUCGGUUCCUGAGCCGAUUGAAAAAAUUUAUUUACACACUCUGAUGACACCGUCCUCUCAGCAGCAAACGAUAGCCUACCGUGUGGCAAGCUAGCCAUCACCCUUCUAUUCUAUUUAUUUAAGUCAGUAUUUCCCUCCCUCUUUCAGCACGCGGCACUAUCGCCCAGACGGAUGCAGGCACACUAUUGCGCGCACACACAGACACGUGCGCAUACACAGGAGAGCUGCGCUCUCCAGCGGACACAGAGCGUGAGUCCGCAACUACCGCACCCCUCCCGUCGGACAGCCCCGCACUGAAGUAUUAAACAGAGGGUGUAACGACGUUCCUUCGGUGCUGUUCGCCAUUAAGCCAAGUGCGUAACAAUGCAUUCUUUAGGAAAUAUUGAGAAAAUACCAAUCUAACCCCCCCAAUAUACAUGGUUACGCCCUUGAAUGGGGCCUAAAUAUUAUGUGAAUUUCCUACCCUGCUAUGGCAUGACAUAUUAUGCAGCACGAUAAAGUGUCAUUAAUGUCUACAUUGAAUUAACGGUGCUAGAAUAUUUGGUGUUUGGUUGUCCUCCCCCAAAGCCCAUAUAUAUGGAUAACUUGCCAACGAUAUAAACUAUUUGACAAAAGUAUAUAGAUAACACUGCAAUAAGUAAGACAAAUCUUUCGAUAUGAGACAGGCUGUCUCAGUUGAGUUGGGGUCUGAUAGGCGCAGAUACGAAGACAAUUGGUUGAAGUUGUCAACAUCAAAGGGGGCUGACUUUGGCAGUCUAGAAAGCUUUUGGAAUACACCCUGAAACCAGAGAUGGGGAUGGUGAGAAGAAAUUCAGUCUGAAGAAGAGUAAAUGGGAUUGGGUCAAGGGUGUAUGUGGUGAGGCAGUUAGAGUACAUACUGAAACCUCUUGUGAAGCAACAUAAGGCCUCCUGAUGGUAUCAGCCCCAGGGUGCUGAAGACCUGCGCCAUCCAGCUGUCUAAAGCCCACCAACAUCUCCUUAUUCUGAACCUAAAGCAGCAGGCAGUCCCGAUGCUGUAGGAGACACCGUGGCCUCAAUGACCACUGACUAGUUGCCCUCACAUCCCAUGUGAUGAAGGUGCUGGAGAGGCUGCUCUUGACCCACCUUCAAGCCCAGAUAAAAUCAUCACCGGGCCCUCUGCAAUUUGCAUUGCCUUAUGUGGGAGUGGAUGACGCCAUCAUCUACCUGCUGCCACGAGCCCAGUCGCACCUGGAUGGUGGCUCUAUCCCUUUCUUUGACUUCUCCAAUCAGUGAUUCUGGCGCUUCACAGUUCUGUGUACCUUGUACACAACUCACUUCAGUUAGGGCAGCUCCGACCGCUGGGCGCUACAUGACUUGUAAAAAUAAAUGCUGCAGCCUGCCGAAGAGCAACGUCAGUUUUUACGGCAUAAUGCCGGUAUGAACAGUGCGUGAGUUACCGUAAAACCUUGAUUAAAGACUACAUAGAAGACUGUAAAAAUUGUCAGCCCCUCCCCACUCUUUAUUCUUAAACCGGAAAUAUGAUCAUUAGCGCCUAAAACGUUUUGUGUAUUCUUGUGUGAGUACUACACUUUUAAAUGCUAUUUCCCAUUCUAAAUUCAUAAUUUAUGUCUGCACAUAUAAAUACUUGUUCUGAAUACAAGGGCUUGUAAAUGUGGUAGUUGUAGUUUUUAUUCUUAAAAUAUCAAUGUUUGUCUACAUUUUUAAUUGUUCAAAAAUGCUUCCAGUUUUAUUAGAAAUUAAAUAAAAUACAUAUUAAAAUGUAUACCUAAUUCUAGUUGAGUAAUAACGUCUCAACUUCACCAGGUAUUUUAUGUAAUCCUUCGGUUUUAGUAAUUACUAUUACCCUUCUACGUUAUUAACAAGGCCCAGCAGAACAGGCUGAGCCCCAAUGCUCCCUCAAGCUAAUGGUGACUGAAGGAGUGGGGGGAUGGGCGAGGGUACGGUGGGGACAGUCAAUGUCAGGUUUUGUGUUAAGAACCUUAAGUUUCGUUUUUUUACACAAAACCGAACUGUUACCAUCCACGUGGGGUCCUCGGUCUGGCCACGCCCCCACCAAGCACCUGCUACCGUCCAUUUCCCUCAGACUGCCGAGCAGCAGACAACAUGACGGUGCUGGCUGCAGAAGCUGGAUAGAAAUGGUGAGUUUUUAAUUAUUGGACUAGCUUCUAAUGUAAAACAGUGCUUUUUACGUUUACUUUGAUACUAUUAAUAUAUGUACUGCCAUAUAAAAUGAGCUGUUGCAAUGUGCUAAACUCAACUUAGAUGGGAAGCUAAUGUUAGCUAACAAUAAGCAAGCAUGUGCAACUAGCACCACAAAUAGUGCUGUUAAGUUUACUUUGAUACUAUUUUCAUAUGUACUGCCAUAUAAAAUGAGCUGUUGCAAUGUGUUAAACUCAACUUAAAUGGACAGCUAAUGUUAGCUAACAAUAAGCAAGCAUGUGCAAGCAGCAGCAUGUGCACGCGUUGUGAAAUAGAAUGCUGGACAGCUAAUUAGUUAUUUAUUAUAUACUAUAUAAAUAUAUUCAUGUUUUAUCAAUAUCUUUUCACACAGAAUGUGAAUAUUAUGCUCAACAAAGGGAGUGUAAUACUUAAUCUGCGUUAAGACCUGGAUUAUAACUAAUUUCCCUUUAACCAUUUUAAGUAUCCUUACGGUGGCUUUUGGGCCUAUAACACUUAAUAAGCAGUUUUCCAUUUGCCCAAAGAGUGAUUGUAAUAUCUACCCAUGUAUAAAUAGGCAUUUUAAUUCAGAUUGUCAUAGGUAUUGAGAUAGAUAAUAUAAUGUUUGUCGUUAAGAACAGAAGUAGAUGUUACUAUAAUGCAUUCCAUAACAGAUAAACUUAAUUCAUUUCAGUAAAAAAAAAAAAAGAGUACUGUAAUGAGUUGGAUGUAUAGCUUUGGCUGAAUGUGUCCCUUGUGCUUUUAGGAGGAUGGAGCAUGUUUGCCAUCCAGUAGUGACAGCUCGAAGUGCACAGAUGCUGAUGUCGGAGAAAUGAAGGAGCCUUUGACCGUGAACAUACUAACCAGGUAGUUCCGAUGAAAAGAUGCUGCUGGCUGGAGAGGUCUGGUGAAUCUCACACAAAAAAGGGUCACCACAAACAAAGAAGAAGUGGACCAAAGAGGAAAUCGAAGCUGUUGAAAGGACCUUAAUGGACUACAUCAAUGGUGGUCAGGGGUCAGAAAUGCAUCACAACAUCGUCACUGGCCGAUCAAGGGAUGAGUUGUCAAAAUAUAUAUUAAAAACUGAAUUUAAAAGAAUUUAAAAAAAGGUAAGCCGCAUUUUCAUCAGAUGGAAGAUUAAAUUCCUGGUGGACUGCCAGCACGUUUACAGACAUUGUUUACAGUAGUCUUAUUGCUCUCUGUUAUUGUUAUAUUUAUAUAAUAUUUGAAAGUUGAAAUGUUGUGCACUGCAGUUGUGUGUGUAUAUACAUACAUAUAUAUAUAUAUAUAUAUACACACAUUCCCCUCCAUGAUGCUUUAAACUGCAUAGUUUAAAAAAAAUAAAGAUGCAAUAUAUCAAACAAUAUUAUAGAGUGGGGUUUAAUAUUCAUAGAUAAUGAGUCAUUAUACAAUUAUAACAUUCAAUGGUGUAUAUAUUCAGCAUGAAUUGACAAAAUAUGUAUUAAGUGCCUUAGAGUUUCUAAAAAGUACCCUUUAUUGAGUACCUUACCUUGUUUGAGACACAUUUUGAACACUGCCCCCUGGUGUGAUUUUGUAUUAUGACAUAAUUGGACGGUCCCCACCGGAAUAGAGAAACCAGAAAAAUAUUCAACUCUAUAAAUUUGAGAAAUUUUGAGAUUUAAGAUGAUAUUGGGGUUUGAAAAAAAUUAAGGAAAAUGAUUUGAUUGAAAGUAUGCCAUUAUUCUGUUAAAAAAAAUGAGGUCCCCACGCUUCACCUCUGUGCAUAAGUCCCCACCGGCAUAGAAGAACCCGUCUGUGUG